rnacentral:rRNA from 1 species
AACGAACGCUGGCGGCAUGCCUAACACAUGCAAGUCGAACGAGACCUUCGGGUCUAGUGGCGCACGGGUGCGUAACGCGUGGGAACCUGCCCUUAGGUUCGGAAUAACUCCCCGAAAGGGGUGCUAAUACCGGAUAAUGUCUUCGGACCAAAGAUUUAUCGCCUUUGGAUGGGCCCGCGUUGGAUUAGCUAGUUGGUAGGGUAAAGCCUACCAAGGCGACGAUCCAUAGCUGGUCUGAGAGGAUGAUCAGCCACACUGGGACUGAGACACGGCCCAGACUCCUACGGGAGGCAGCAGUGGGGAAUAUUGGACAAUGGGCGAAGGCCUGAUCCAGCAAUGCCGCGUGAGUGAUGAAGGCCUUAGGGUUGUAAAGCUCUUUUACCCGGGAUGAUAAUGACAGUACCGGGAGAAUAAGCUCCGGCUAACUCCGUG